ACUUGUUUGGUGCAGUGGUCAGUGCGCUUGGCUGAAGGACCAGAGGUUGGGGUUCAAUUCCCUCUGCCAGCU